AGCGAACGCUGGCGGCAGGCCUAACACAUGCAAGUCGAACGGAUCCUUCGGGAUUAGUGGCGGACGGGUGAGUAACACGUGGGAACGUGCCCUUUGGUUCGGAACAACUCAGGGAAACUUGAGCUAAUACCGGAUGUGCCCUUCGGGGGAAAGAUUUAUCGCCAUUGGAGCGGCCCGCGUCUGAUUAGCUAGUUGGUGAGGUAACGGCCCACCAAGGCGACGAUCAGUAGCUGGUCUGAGAGGAUGAUCAGCCAAACUGGGACUGGGACACGGCCCAGACUCCUACGGGAGGCAGCAGUGGGGAAUCUUGCGCAAUGGGCGAAAGCCUGACGCAGCCAUGCCGCGUGAAUGAUGAAGGUCUUAGGAUUGUAAAAUUCUUUCAGCGGGGACGAUAAGGACGGUACCCGCAGAAGAAGCUCCGGCUAACUUCGU
rnacentral:rRNA from 1 species